GGGGGGGAGGUGCUUUAAACGUGGGACAGGUUUAAAUACGUUUGUGCCCUCCACUGAAAUCUGUUGAUUUUCAAAGGCAGAAACUUUAUUGAGACACCAUCUAACGCGAACAUGAAGUGGCUACUGCUACUCUGCCUGUGUGUCUAUGCUGUCCGUUGUCAAGACGACUAUGACGAAUAUGACACGGGUGAUAAGACUGAUCCCAAAACAGUGGUGGACCCUCGCGGCCACCGACCCUAAUCAAGGGGCGUGA